AUACUUACAUGACAGGGUAGAUGCUAUGGUCAUGAAAGUGGUUUUCUCAAGGUGAGGUUCAUCCAUUGCACUCCGAUUGUAUGAGCCCCUGUUAUUUCUCCGAAUUCAGGAAACCUGACUGCAUAAUUUGUGGUGGUAGAGGAUUGUAUUUAUGCUUUCCCCUA